rnacentral:rRNA from 1 species
GACGAACCGUGCGAACGUUAUUCGGAAUCACUGGGCUUAAAGCGCGUGUAGGCGGGACGGCACGUCGGUCGCUGAAAUCCCCCGGCUUAACCGGGGAACUGGCGUCGAUACGACCGCCCUGGAGGGGCGUAGGGGGACCUGGAACUUCCGGUGGAGCGGUGAAAUGCGUUGAGAUCGGAAGGAACGCCCGUGGCGAAAGCGAGGUCCUGGACGCCUACUGACGCUGAGGAGCGAAAGCGUGGGGAGCGAACAGG